GUGAGCCUCUCCACGCGCGGGCGCGCGCGGGCGCGACGCCCCUCUCCCCGUCGCCUGGCUGCUCGCUACCUGGCGCCCCCAUCACCGGGGGCGCCCCUCGCGCGUCCCCUCAGCGCUUAGGCGCCAACGCUGCGAUGCUAAGCGGAGUUGCGCCAGUCUAACCCCUUGGGGCGCCCGUUUUCCCCGAAGGAGCCCGGGCGCUUUCCCUCUAGCCUGCUUCAGAGCAUUAAAACAGAUUCCAAGCAUGGGCAACCAAAGGUCAGAGGGCCUCCACUACUGUACCAAGUGUGUUCCCUCACAGUGAACAGACCCAGUUGGCAUUUGGUACGGAAAUCAGACAAGUACUAGGUUUACUACAGCAACAAGGGCCUACCUACCUCAACACCCUCAACGAUGCCAUCAUUCGCGCCAACCUGCCCCAAAGCAGGGGGAACCUGGCUGCCUGCGGUGAGUGGCCCUGGAAACGGGGGUCCCAUACGGCAUAAAAAACUCAAGACAGAAAUCAGAAGUGGUGCUGAGUUAAUUUCUUUGGUUUUUAGCUUUGUGGAUCUCCAAAGCUGUGUCUUGAUUUGGGAUGGUAAAAAGCCCCGUAGUUGCUGACUUGCUAAAUCUGUCACUCAGGAAGCCAUGGAUGCUGAAUAGGGACUAUGAAUGGUUAUCACAUUAUCACAGGUAACAGAUUUCCUUUACAGAGGCGGGGUCUGGGGGAGCUCAGUGGCACCUGGCGUGGGCUUUCGGGGACCACAGAUCUCUUUGUCAGAUGCAUCUGGCAGGGAAAGCUGUGGUUAUCGAAGGCUCAUACUGCAUUGGAAUUGGAUGGUCUAGCUGUUUGGCUGCUACAAACUAACAUGGCAAACUCCUUUGAAGCCAACUGAUCCACACACCAAAAGGAGAUGUUUACAUAUACUAGCAAAGGAAUGUUUUGGUUGCACCCUCCCCCUUUCCCCCCCUAAUUGCCUCUUCUCUCUCCUCCCCUUCUCUCCCUCCUCUUCUGUAUUUGACCAGUCUCUGUAUCAGGCAUCUGACGAAGAGAACUUGAUUCUCGAAAGCUUAUGCUACAAUAAAAUUGGUUAGUCUUAAAGGUGCUACUGGACUCUUUUUGAUUCAGGAAGCCAUGGUGCUUCUCUCUCCCUCUCCCUCCCUCUCUCCUUCAAUCCCGCCCCCCUCUCAAGGCUGUCAGUGGGAAGCACUCCUGGGUCAUAUGGAAACUGAGUGGACUGAGAAGCAAUCUGAGCCUGUGCUCAAAUUGUUUUGGCAUUGAGGAGCUGGAUUGCCAUAUCAGGAGAAUCCAUCUGUGAGAAACUUGAUGCUGCUUGGUGGUAUGUGCCUAAGUGGGAGUGAAAGGAAACUCCCUGAACAUCCCCUCUUCCCCUUAUGUGCUCCAGGUAUCACUCUGACCAACCACCCAAUGAACAAGACUAGUGCCAGCCUCUCUUUGGAUUACCUGUACGCAGGGCUUUUUUUCAGCAGGAACGCAGUGGAACGGAGUUCCGGCACCUCUUAAAAAUUGUCACAUGGCCGGUGGCCCCACCCUCUGAUCUCCAGACAGAAGCGACUUUAGAUCGCCCUCUGCGCCUGGUGUGGAGGGCAACCUAAACUCCCUUCUGUCUGGAGAUCAAGGGGUGGGGCCACCGGCCAUUUGACCAUUUUCGCCAAGGGCAAUUCAAACCUGAAAAAACUCCCCCUUUGUUCCAGCUGACCCAAAGUGAUGUCAUUGUGAGGUCUUGAGUUCCACCACCUCUUUUCCCAGAAAAAAAGCCCUGCCUGUAUGUAUCCUUUUUUAAUGGAUAGCUCACCUGGGCUAUCUAGGUGAGGCCAUAAAUGAAGUAAAUAAAAAUAAAAAAUGGCUAUCACUGGAAGAUCAAACUAGUUCUGAGUAUUAAUUAUUGUUCUGUGGAAAAUAGCAUUAAAGGCCAUGUUUACACAGCUUGGUACUUAAGUACUGAGCCAGAUUCUUGCAAGGAUAAAUUGUUUAAUGGAGGUUCCUUCCCAAUACAUCAUGUCCCGUUGCUCAAUAUCUCAAGAGCAAAGAUGGUCCCUUCCGGUGAUGGAGACAAGAUUUUGAAUGGCGCGAACUGCCUGCAUAGUGAUAAUGGAACUGUAGCAAUGAACCAAAUUUCAGAGGGUUAGCCGUGUUAGCCUGUUGUAGCAAAAUAAAACAGAAUUGUCGUAGUAC